rnacentral:ncRNA from 1 species
GUGACACGUGGACGUGUUGAUACGCUGGCUGUAAUUGGUCGCUUCGCCAGCGAGGAGCGAGAGCGAAACCUCCCGCGUCGG